CACUACUGUGCCUGUGUCAUCAAAGACACGUGGGUUAAGCCCAACGGAGUAGUCAGAAGACAGUCUUCAGAAAGGACUCCCAAGUUCAAAAGGACUCUCCCAGCUGUCCCCGAGACAGCUUGAAGACACCCCUCGAGAAAGGACAUCCUGCCCUUGCUUCUGUGGGUUUGCAUCCAGGAUGAACCUCCACCCCACCCACAUAGGGGUUUUCUUUCUGAAGCUGACAGUGCUUGGGAGCCGGGGACUCAGUGUCACGCUGGCAGUAUGCUGCUGCAGAUGAUGUGGGGGUUUGUUCUCCAUCUCUUCCUGAUGGUGGGAGGUGCUGCAGGACAAGGCGUGGAGCAGCCUGCUGAGUGGAUGUCUCUGGAGGGAACCUCUGCUCAGGUCAAUUGCACGUACAGCACGUCAGGGUUCAACGGGCUAACCUGGUACCGGCAACAUGAAGGCCAAGCACCUGAAUUUCUUUCUUAUGAUGUCUUGGAUGGUCUGAAGGACAGUGGGCGUUUUUCUACAUUCCUGAGCCGCUCGGAGAGGUACAGUUACCUCCUUCUGACAGAACUCCAGAUCAAAGACUCUGCCUCUUACCUCUGUGCUGUGAGGGACACGGUGACUGUGACGCCUCCGCAGCUGCACAAAAAUUCAAAGAGGGCCACAGCAGGGGCAGGGUUAUAUUCCCUUAGUGUGUGCUUGGUGUGAACAAAAACUGGGUCCCUCGGAGACAGCCUGGAUUUGAGUUCGCCACUUUCUAGAUGGGUGGUCUUAAGCAAGCCACUUUAACUUAAAGUAAUUUUUACAUUUGUUGAUUUUUUUUUAUUGUUAGUUGAGUUUUCUCAUGUGUAAAAUGGGGCUCCUGAUAAACGGUGCCUGCCUCACAGGGGUGCUGGGAGCUGAGUCUACCUCUGCAUAGUGUAACAGAGUGGGGCUGGCUCAUAGCAAGCCCUCUGGAAGCUUAUUAUUUCACUUGCCAUCUUGAUGCCUCCCUUAGGGUCACUCAGCAGAAGUGCUGGGAUUUGAUCCAGGAUUUCUGUAUCCCGUGUGGGAAGUAAAAUGCUGAAAAUGCUUGAAUCUUCUGAAUCUAAAGCUGCAAGAUAGCAUUUGCUCAUGAGGCAGGUUUUUUUUUUUUUUUUCCAAUCUGGAGAAACA